rnacentral:rRNA from 1 species
GACGAACGCUGGCGGCGUGCCUAAUACAUGCAAGUUGAGCGCUGAAGGUUGGUACUUGUACCGACUGGAUGAGCAGCGAACGGGUGAGUAACGCGUGGGGAAUCUGCCUUUGAGCGGGGGACAACAUUUGGAAACGAAUGCUAAUACCGCAUAAAAACUUUAAACACAAGUUUUAAGAUUGAAAGAUGCAAUUGCAUCACUCAAAGAUGAUCCCGCGUUGUAUUAGCUAGGUGGUGAGGUAAAGGCUCACCAAGGCGAAGAUACAUAGCCGACCUGAGAGGGUGGUCGGCCACAUUGGGACUGGGACCCGGCCCAAACUCCUACCGGAGGCAGCAGUAGGGAAUCUUCGGCAAUGGGCGGAAGUCUGACCGGGCAACGCCGCGUGAGUGGAGAAGGUUUUCGGAUCGUAAAACUCUGUUGGUAGGGAAGAACGUUGGUGAGAGUGGAAAGCUCAUCAAGUGACGGUAACUACCCAGAAAGCGACGGCUAACUACGUG